CCGCACAAGCGGUGGAGCAUGUGGUUUAAUUCGACGCAACGCGAAGAACCUUACCAGGGCUUGACAUCCCCUGACCGCGUAUGAAAGUACGUUUUCACCCUCGGGUGACAGGGAGACAGGUGGUGCAUGGUUGUCGUCAGCUCGUGUCGUGAGAUGUUGGGUUAAGUCCCGCAACGAGCGCAACCCCUACGUUUAGUUGCUAACGCGUGAAGGCGAGCACUCUAGACGAACUGCCGUUGACAAAACGGAGGAAGGUGGGAUGACGUCAAAUCAUCAUGCCCCUUAUGUUCUGGGCUACACACGUGCUACAAUGGCCGGUACAGACGGACGCAAAGCCGCGAGGUGGAGCAAAUCCUAAAAAGCCGGUCUCAGUUCGGAUUGCAGGCUGCAAUUCGCCUGCAUGAAGUCGGAAUCGCUAGUAAUCGCAGGUCAGCAUACUGCGGUCGAAUACGUUCCCGGGCCUU
rnacentral:rRNA from 1 species